rnacentral:rRNA from 1 species
UACAGAGACUGCAAGCGUUAUUCGGAUUCACUGGGCGUAAAGGGUGCGCAGGCGGCCAAGUGUGUGAGGCGUGAAAGCCCGGGGCUUAACCCCGGAAUUGCACCUCAAACUACAUAGCUAGAGCAUUGGAGAGGGUAGCAGAAUUCAUGGUGUAGCAGUGAAAUGCGUAGAUAUCAUGAGGAAUACCAGAGGCGAAGGCGGCUACCUGGACAAUUGCUGACGCUCAGGCACGAAAGCGUGGGGAGCAAAAGGG